UCUGGAUUCAGGAAGACAAAAGUGGACGUGGUGGCGGAUCCGAGAUGCAGCGCUGCAGAGUGUCAGCCCCGCCGGGACACUGGCGGGGAACGCAGUGGUGGUGGCCAACUGGGAGUCCACGACAAGGGUCCGUGGAGAGACCUCUCUUCGAGGCUGUGCAUACCGACAACUCUUCCUGGGACCCUGAAGCAUGUGGAAACCAGAGCAGCUCUGAAGGAGGACCGGCCAGACGCAGAGGAGAAGCCAAGAGCAAUUCCCCGUUGGAGGAGCUCAUGAAGCUCCACGGAAGGCUGCAUGAAGAGGAGCUUGAUGGCUUCUGUGGCAAAG